UGGAUCCAGACUUUGAUCCUGGCUCAGGACGAACGCUGGCGGCGUGCCUAACACAUGCAAGUCGAACGGAACUUUUUUAAAAGAUUUCUUCGGAAUGAAUUUGAUUAAGUUUAGUGGCGGACGGGUGAGUAACGCGUGAGUAACCUGCCUCUAAGAGGGGAAUAACAUUCUGAAAAGAAUGCUAAUACCGCAUAAUAUAUAUUUAUCGCAUGGUAGAUAUAUCAAAGAUUUAUCGCUUAGAGAUGGACUCGCGUCCGAUUAGUUAGUUGGUGAGGUAACGGCUCACCAAGACUGCGAUCGGUAGCCGGACUGAGAGGUUGAACGGCCACAUUGGGACUGAGACACGGCCCAGACUCCUACGGGAGGCAGCAGUGGGGGAUAUUGCGCAAUGGGGGAAACCCUGACGCAGCAACGCCGCGUGAAGGAUGAAGGUCUUCGGAUUGUAAACUUCUUGUAUUAAGGACGAAGAAAGUGACGGUACUUAAUGAAUAAGCUCCGGCUAACUACGUGCCAGCAGCCGCGGUAAUACGUAGGGAGCAAGCGUUGUCCGGAUUUACUGGGUGUAAAGGGUGCGUAGGCGGCUUUGCAAGUCAGAUGUGAAAUCUAUGAGCUCAACCCAUAGCCUGCAUUUGAAACUGCAGAGCUUGAGUGAAGUAGAGGCAGGCGGAAUUCCCCGUGUAGCGGUGAAAUGCGUAGAGAUGGGGAGGAACACCAGUGGCGAAGGCGGCCUGCUGGGCUUUAACUGACGCUGAGGCACGAAAGCGUGGGUAGCAAACAGGAUUAGAUACCCUGGUAGUCCACGCUGUAAACGAUGAUUACUAGGUGUGGGGGGUUCUGACCCCUUCCGUGCCGGAGUUAACACAAUAAGUAAUCCACCUGGGGAGUACGGCCGCAAGGUUGCAAACUCAAAGGAAUUGACGGA
rnacentral:rRNA from 1 species